AUCCGGGUUGCGGACAGUGUCUGGUGGGUAGUUUGACUGGGGCGGUCUCCUCCUAAAGAGUAACGGAGGAGCACGAAGGUUGGCUAAUCCUGGUCGGACAUCAGGAGGUUAGUGCAAUGGCAUAAGCCAGCUUGACUGCGAGCGUGACGGCGCGAGCAGGUGCGAAAGCAGGUCAUAGUGAUCCGGUGGUUCUGAAUGGAAGGGCCAUCGCUCAACGGAUAAAAGGUACUCCGGGGAUAACAGGCUGAUACCGCCCAAGAGUUCAUAUCGACGGCGGUGUUUGGCACCUCGAUGUCGGCUCAUCACAUCCUGGGGCUGAAGUAGGUCCCAAGGGUAUGGCUGUUCGCCAUUUAAAGUGGUACGCGAGCUGGGUUUAGAACGUCGUGAGACAGUUCGGUCCCUAUCUGCCGUGGGCGCUGGAGAACUGAGGGGGGCUGCUCCUAGUACGAGAGGACCGGAGUGGACGCAUCACUGGUGUUCGGGUUGUCAU
rnacentral:rRNA from 1 species